UGUGAAGAUGCAGGUUACCCGCGACAGGACGGAAAGACCCCGUGGAGCUUUACUGUAGCCUGAUAUUGAAAUUCGGCACAGCUUGUACAGGAUAGGUAGGAGCCUUUGAAACGUGAGCGCUAGCUUACGUGGAGGCGUUGGUGGGAUACUACCCUAGCUGUGUUGGCUUUCUAACCCGCACCACUUAUCGUGGUGGGAGACAGUGUCAGGCGGGCAGUUUGACUGGGGCGGUCGCCUCCUAAAAGGUAACGGAGGCGCUCAAAGGUUCCCUCAGAAUGGUUGGAAAUCAUUCAUAGAGUGUAAAGGCAUAAGGGAGCUUGACUGCGAGACCUACAAGUCGAGCAGGGUCGAAAGACGGACUUAGUGAUCCGGUGGUUCCGCAUGGAAGGGCCAUCGCUCAACGGAUAAAAGCUA
rnacentral:rRNA from 1 species